GACGAACGCUGGCGGCGUGCCUAAUACAUGCAAGUCGAACGCAGUGGGGACGGGAGAGUAACACGUGGGUAACCUCCAAUCAGAGGGGAUAACACUUGGAAACAGGUGCUAAACCGAGACUGAUGGAUGGACCGGCGGUGCAUUAUCUAGUUGGUCAGGUAACUGCUCACCAAGGCCACGAUGAAUAGGCCACCUGAGAGGGGGAUCGUCCACACUGGGACUUAGACACGGCCCAUACUCCUACGGGAGGCAGAAGUAGGGAAUCUGCGGCAAUGGACGAAAGUCUGACCGAGCAACGCCGCGUGAGUGAAGAAGGUUUUCGGAUCGUAAAGCUCUGUUGUUAGAGAAGCGUUAUCUAACCAGAAAGCCACGGCUAACUACGUGCCAGCAGCCGCGGUAAUAC
rnacentral:rRNA from 1 species